rnacentral:rRNA from 1 species
AUUGGACGCUGGCGGCAGGCCUAACACAUGCAAGUCGAGCGGGGUUUUCGGACCUAGCGGCGGACGGGUGAGUAAUGCGUAGGAAGCUACCCGAUAGAGGGGGAUACCAGUUGGAAACGACUGUUAAUACCGCAUAAUGUCUACGGACCAAAGUGUGGGACCUUCGGGCCACAUGCUAUCGGAUGCGCCUACGUGGGAUUAGCUAGUUGGUGGGGUAAUGGCUCACCAAGGCGACGAUCCCUAGCUGGUUUGAGAGGAUGAUCAGCCACACUGGAACUGAGACACGGUCCAGACUCCUACGGGAGGCAACAGUGGGGAAUAUUGGACAAUGGGCGCAAGCCUGAUCCAGCCAUGCCGCGUGUGUGAAGAAGGCCUUCGGGUUGUAAAGCACUUUCAGUAGGGAGGAAGGGUGUUGUGUUAAUAGCACAGCAUUUUGACGUUACCUACAGAAGAAGCACCGGCUAGCUCUGUGCCAGCAGCCGCAGUAACAC